rnacentral:lncRNA from 1 species
CGAGUUAUAUAUUUUGUGGGACAUCUACUACAAAGAUCAGUCUUAUCUAUAGGCUGUGUCAGCAUUGUCUAUGGACCUCAGGGACCUGGAAAAGGCCUUAAACUCCCUCAAAUCUUCUUCCCAACAGAUAAGUUGUUACUUGAAAUUCAACUACUCAGGUCUUGUGUCUUAAGGAUUUUGUGCAAGGUCUUCCUGUGUCCUGUCCCAGAGCAUCUUCAAAGGGAGCCAGUAUGCACUUCAUGGAAGGCAGAUUGCCACAUGCAGAGCCUCAUUUGGAUGUAUCUGGAGUCUUGGAAGCUUGUUUGCCCUAUGUUCUCCUACAAAUGGACCUUGGGAGCUCAUUCUAGUAGAGCAGUAGAGCUACCUGUAUACCCUUGACUGAAGAAUGGGGGUGGGGGAGGUGGUCUUCUUUGACCAAGCAUGCAGUGUUGGGAGGGAUGCACAUGGAGAGAUGAGGGAGGAGUGGGCCAACCACCUAGACAUCCAGAUCAGGUGAAGCAACCCUGGAGAGAUCAAUAGGCUGACAUGCCGCAGGCAAAACAUAGCUUAAAUGCCCUCCAUGAAAGCCUUCUCUUUUCUCCUAGCUGGAAAUGUUCUCCCAUCUUCUGUAUUUGGAGUU